AGUGAACGCUGGCGGUAGGCCUAACACAUGCAAGUCGAACGGCAGCACAGUAAGAGCUUGCUCUUACGGGUGGCGAGUGGCGGACGGGUGAGGAAUACAUCGGAAUCUACUUUUUCGUGGGGGAUAACGUAGGGAAACUUACGCUAAUACCGCAUACGACCUACGGGUGAAAGCAGGGGAUCUUCGGACCUUGCGCGAUUGAAUGAGCCGAUGUCGGAUUAGCUGGUUGGCGGGGUAAAGGCCCACCAAGGCGACGAUCCGUAGCUGGUCUGAGAGGAUGGUCAGCCACACUGGAACUGAGACACGGUCCAGACUCCUACGGGAGGCAGCAGUGGGGAAUAUUGGACAAUGGGCGCAAGCCUGAUCCAGCCAUACCGCGUGGGUGAAGAAGGCCUUCGGGUUGUAAAGCCCUUUUGUUGGGAAAGAAAAGCAGCAGGUUAAUACCCCGCUGUUCUGACGGUACCCAAAGAAUAAGCACCGGCUAACUUCGUG
rnacentral:rRNA from 1 species